rnacentral:rRNA from 1 species
UGGGGAAUAUUGGACAAUGGGGGCAACCCUGAUCCAGCAAUGCCGCGUGUGUGAAGAAGGCCUGCGGGUUGUAAAGCACUUUCAGUAGAGAAGAAAAGCCUAAGGUUAAUAACCUUGAGUCUUGACGUAACCUACAGAAGAAGCACCGGCUAACUCCGUGCCAGCAGCCGCGGUAAUACGGAGGGUGCAAGCGUUAAUCGGAAUUACUGGGCGUAAAGCGUGCGCAGGCGGCUCCUUAAGUCAGAUGUGAAAUCCCCGGGCUUAACCUGGGAACUGCGUUUGAAACUGAGGGGCUAGAGUGUGGAAGAGGGGGGUGGAAUUCCAGGUGUAGCAGUGAAAUGCGUAGAGAUCUGGAGGAACACCGAUGGCGAAGGCAGCCCCCUGGGCUAACACUGACGCUCAUGCACGAAAGCGUGGGGAGCAAACAGGAUUAGAUACCCGGGUAGUCCCUGAGCGGGCUGGCAAGGCGCAU